rnacentral:rRNA from 1 species
UACAGAGGUCCCGAGCGUUGUUCGGAUUCACUGGGCGUAAAAGGCUUGUAGGUGGCCACGCCAAGUCGGAUGUGAAAUCUCCCGGCUCAACUGGGAGGGGUCAUUCGAUACUGGCGGGCUCGAGGCCGGUAGGGGGAAGUGGAAUUCCCGGUGUAGUGGUGGAAUGCGUAGAUAUCGGGAGGAACACCAGUGGCGAAGGCGGCUGCCUGGCGGUUC